UCCGGUUUGUCACCGGCAGUCUCCCAUGAGUCCCCAACUUAAUGCUGGCAACACAGAACAAGGGUUGCGCUCGUUGCGGGACUUAACCCAACAUCUCACGACACGAGCUGACGACAGCCAUGCACCACCUGUACACCGACCACAAGGGGGGCACCAUCUCUGGCGCUUUCCGGCGUAUGUCAAGCCUUGGUAAGGUUCUUCGCGUUGCGUCGAAUUAAGCCACAUGCUCCGCUGCUUGUGCGGGCCUCCGUCAAUUCCUUUGAGUUUUAGCCUUGCGGCCGUACUCCCCAGGCGGGGCACUUACUGCGUUAGCGACGGCACCGGGAGGGUCGCUCCCCCCGACGCUUAGUGCCCAUCGUUUACGGCGUGGACUAC
rnacentral:misc_RNA from 1 species